UACGGAGGAUCCAAGCGUUAUCCGGAUUUAUUGGGCUUAAAGGGUGCGUAGGUGGGAUGAUAAGUCAGAGGUGAAAGCUAGCAGCUUAACUGUUAAAUUGCCUUUGAUACUGUUAUUCUUGAGUAUAGUUGGCGUUGGCGGAAUGUGACAUGUAGCGGUGAAAUGCGUAGAUAUGUCACAGAACACCGAUCGCGAAGGCAGCUACCGAAACUAUCACUGACACUGAUGAACGAAAGCGGGGGGAGCAAAAAGG
rnacentral:rRNA from 1 species